UCCAGACUCCUACGGGAGGCAGCAGUGAGGAAUAUUGGUCAAUGGCCGAGAGGCUGAACCAGCCAAGUCGCGUGAGGGAUGACGGCCCUACGGGUUGUAAACCUCUUUUGUCGGGGAGCAAAGAGAGUCACGUGUGGCUCAUUGAGAGUACCCGAAGAAAAAGCAUCGGCUAACUCCGUGCCAGCAGCCGCGGUAAUACGGAGGAUGCGAGCGUUAUCCGGAUUUAUUGGGUUUAAAGGGUACGUAGGCGGCGCUUCAGGUCAGCGGUGAAAUACCGGGGCUCAACCCCGGGGCUGCCGUUGAAACCGGAGCGCUAGAAUUCCGAUGCCGUCGGAGGAAUGUGUGGUGUAGCGGUGAAAUGCAUAGAUAUCACACAGAACACCGAUUGCGAAGGCAUCUGACGAAUCGGAGAUUGACGCUGAUGCACGAAAGCGUGGGUAUCGAACAGGAUUAGAUACCCUGGUA
rnacentral:rRNA from 1 species